GAUGAACGCUAGCGGCAGGCUUAAUACAUGCAAGUCGUGGGGCAGCAUGAGUAGCAAUACUUGAUGGCGACCGGCAAACGGGUGAGGAACACGUACACAACCUUCCUUCAAGCGGGGAAUAGCCCAGAGAAAUUUGGAUUAAUACCCCAUAAUAUAUUUGAUAAGGCAUCUUAUUAAUAUUAAAGCUUCGGCACUUGAUGAUGGGUGUGCGGCUGAUUAGAUAGUUGGCGGGGUAACGGCCCACCAAGUCUACGAUCAGUAGCUGAUGUGAGAGCAUGAUCAGCCACACGGGCACUGAGACACGGGCCCGACUCCUACGGGAGGCAGCAGUAAGGAAUAUUGGACAAUGGACGAAGUACUGAUCCAGCCAUGCCGCGUGAAGGAUUAAGGUCCUCUGGAUUGUAAACUUCUUUAUAUGGGACGAAAAAGGGCAUUCUUGUUCACUUGACGGUACCAUAUGAAUAAGCACCGGCUAAC
rnacentral:rRNA from 1 species